rnacentral:sRNA from 1 species
AUUAAAUUAUAUUGAAAGCGUUAUCAAAAAAACACUUAAAGGGAGUUGAAUCAGCGAUGGGUACAAUUAUUUGUCAAGACUGUCAGCGCGUGAUCGAACAUUUUGAAGAUGAGAAGGUCUCAACUCUUUAUGGAAACUGCUGCUCCAGCUGUAAAAGCAAAAACAAACAUAAAGCAUAAAAGAAAAAGCUAACCAGUCUCGACUGGUUAGCUUUUU